CACCAGCGCCACGAGUGGCAAUCAUGUAUUUGGCCUAAAGCGUCCGUAGCCGGACAUGCAAAUUCUCUGUGAAAUUGUGCAGCUUAACUGUACAUCGUGCAGAGAACACUACAUGUCUUGGAACCGGGAGAGGCUAAGAGUAUUCCGGGGGAAGCGGUAAAAUGCUAUAAUCCCCGGAGGACUACCAAUGGCGAAGGCACUUAGCCAGAACGGAUUCGACGGUGAGGGACGAAAGCCAGGGGAGCGAUCCGGAUUAGAUACCCUUGUA
rnacentral:rRNA from 1 species